UGCUGAGCCUGCCAUGGGGGUGCAGUGAGGGGGUACAUGGGAGAACAGGCCAUUGUAAGCGCCAAAGAGGUUCACAGAUACGGUGUGGGAGAUCCAGAGGGAAGCUUGGACAGGAUCUGAUUAUCUUGGUGGGGUGAUUGCCAGAAGAAGAAAAAUAAAUUUUAAGUAAGA
rnacentral:lncRNA from 1 species